GAGAAACUACGCCACCUCCCCUGCAGCCGAGCGCACGCAGCAGCCUGGCGUGACAAGUGGGCGACGCCGGGGGGGCAGGGAACCGGGGGUCCUUGGCCCUGGCCGGGGACCUCGCCGCCCACCAGCGGAGAAUAAGUUUUAGCCGGCAGCCCCAGCCAGCCCUGCACCUGUCUCCAGCGUCUCCAUCGCUCCUCGUGAUCAUCGAAGGGAAAUUCUAGAAGAAUUUGCUUCACAAAUCUACGUGCGCAUCAUUUUCUCCGCCGCGUCUCKUUCGGGAGGAAGGAACGAGAAAGGGAUUCGAGCGGCGGGCGUUCUGCCCGAAGCAUCACCAAGCAUCCCAGGAAUGCUACUUCUGCUCAGUUCUUGGAUGGAGAGGAAUGGAGGAGGAUUUUUGCCUCACUUGUGUUUUCAGGGAAUCUUUUAACUGUAAGUGAAAUCUAGUAUUUUCUUUUAUUUUUUUUU
rnacentral:lncRNA from 1 species